rnacentral:rRNA from 1 species
GACGAACGCUGGCGGCGUGCUUAACACAUGCAAGUCGAACGAGAGGACAUGGGAAGCUUGCUUCCUAUGAAAUCGAGUGGCAAACGGGUGAGUAACGCGUAAACAACCUGCCCUUCGGAUGGGGAUAACAGCCGGAAACGGCUGCUAAUACCGAAUACGAUCUUUCCGUCGCAUGACGGAAAGAAGAAAGGAUGGCCUCUAUACAAAGCUAUCGCCGAAGGAGGGGUUUGCGUCUGAUUAGCUGGUUGGAGGGGUAACGGCCCAACAAGGCGAUGAUCAGUAGCCGGUCUGAGAGGAUGAACGGCCACAUUGGGACUGAGAUACGGCCCAGACUCCUACGGGAGGCAGCAGUGGGGAAUCUUCCGCAAUGGACGAAAGUCUGACGGAGCAACGCCGCGUGAGUGAAGAAGGUCUUCGGAUUGUAAGGCUCUGUUAUACGGGACGAAAAAGACGGAUGCCAACAGUAUCCGUCCGUGACGGUACCGUAAGAGAAAGCCACGGCUAACUACGUGCCAGCAGCCGCGGUAAUACGUAGGUGGCAAGCGUUGUCCGGAAUUAUUGGGCGUAAAGGGCGCGCAGGCGGUUCGGUAAGUCUGUCUUAAAAGUGCGGGGCUUAACCCCGUGAGGGGACGGAAACUGUCGAACUUGAGCGUCGGAGAGGAAAGCGGAAUUCCUAGUGUAGCGGUGAAAUGCGUAGAUAUUAGGAGGAACACCGGUGGCGAAAGCGGCUUUCUGGACGACAACUGACGCUGAGGCGCGAAAGCGUGGGGAGCAAACAGGAUUAGAUACCCUGGUAGUCCACGCCGUAAACGAUGGAUACUAGGUGUAGGAGGUAUCGACCCCUUCUGUGCCGUAGUUAACGCUAUAAGUAUCCCGCCUGGGGAGUACGGCCGCAAGGUUG